GUAGCUUAGUGGUAGAGCUCUUGCCUAGUAUGUGUGAGGCUCUAGGUUCAAUCCCUAGC
rnacentral:tRNA from 1 species